GCUGAUAUAGCUCAACUGGGAGAGCACAUGCCUUACAAGCAUGGGGUUACAGGUUCGAGUCCUGUUAUCAGCA
rnacentral:tRNA from 1 species